GACGAACGCUGGCGGCGUGCUUAACACAUGCAAGUCGAACGGAAAGGCCCUGCUUUUGUGGGGUGCUCGAGUGGCGAACGGGUGAGUAACACGUGAGUAACCUGCCCUUGACUUUGGGAUAACUUCAGGAAACUGGGGCUAAUACCGGAUAGGAGCUCCUGCUGCAUGGUGGGGGUUGGAAAGUUUCGGCGGUUGGGGAUGGACUCGCGGCUUAUCAGCUUGUUGGUGGGGUAGUGGCUUACCAAGGCUUUGACGGGUAGCCGGCCUGAGAGGGUGACCGGCCACAUUGGGACUGAGAUACGGCCGAGACUCCUACGGGAGGCAGCAGUGGGGAAUAUUGCACAAUGGGCGGAAGCCUGAUGCAGCAACGCCGCGUGCGGGAUGACGGCCUUCGGGUUGUAAACCGCUUUCGCCUGUGACGAAGCGUGAGUGACGGUAAUGGGUAAAGAGGCACCGGCUAACUACG
rnacentral:rRNA from 1 species